CUGCUGGGCGGUCUAGAAGGGCUCACCGAAAGGUGGGCCCUUUUUUGUUGUCCGCGGUUUUCAAAACCUUUGCAAAGCCGCCACUCAA
rnacentral:misc_RNA from 1 species